rnacentral:rRNA from 1 species
GUAGUCCCAGCUGUUAACUGGUGUGCACUUGGUGUUGCCGGUAUUGACCCCGCCAGUGCCGGAGUUUACGCGUUAAGUGCACCGCCUGAGGAGUACGAUCGCAAGGUUCAUACUCCUAGUAAUGUGUACGGGGGCCCGCACAAGCGGAGGAGCAUGUGGCUUAAUUCGAUGCAUACGCGAAGAACCUUACCUGGGUUUGACAUCGGAGAGGCUUGCCUCUAGCGCGUGAAAGCGCGUUAACCAGACAGGUGCUGCAUGGCUGUCGUCAGUUCGCGCCGUGAGGUGUUGGGUUAAGUCCCGCAACGAACGCAACCCUUUAUGUUUAGUUGCCUACCCCCGAGCAAUCGGGGCGCACUCUAGACAGACUGCCCGUUACAAGCGGGAGGAAGGUGGGGAUGUACGUCAAGUCCGUAUGGCCCUUACACCCAGGGCUGUACACGUGCUACAAUGGUCGGUACAGAGGGAUGCUACACCGCGAGGUUACGCAAAUCCCUAAAAGCCGGUCCCAGUUCGGAUUGCAGUCUGUUACUCGACUGCAUGAAGUUGGAUUCGCUAGUAACGGCGUAUCAGCUACGACGCCGUGAAUACGUUCCCGGGCCUUGUACACACCGCCCGUCACAUCAUGAAAGCCGUCUGCACCCGAAGUCACUGAACCAACCAGCAAUGGAGGUAGGUGCCGAAGGUGUGGGUGGUGAUUGGGAU